rnacentral:lncRNA from 1 species
CAAAUGCCCAAAUCAUAAAAUCAACCGAUCCCAUUUCUCCCAAAUCGUGGAACGCUACUAGUAGACUGAAGAGGGAAGCCAAAUUGCAAAAACCCUUUUUCAAUUUCUUCAAUUUUUCCUUUGUCGCAAUCGCCCCUGCCCUACACAGCUACACUGGCUACAUAGUACACAUGAGAAACGACAGUGCUGCCUACCAGAUUGUCGGUUCGCCCUACUCAGAUAUGGUCAAUUUUUAUAUUUUUGUAUUGUUUAUCUUUGUGACUUUGUGUGUUUGUUUAAUGGGUUAAUUUUGUUUGAUGUUUAAGUAAUAUAAAAUAAUGUAAAAUUUCUAUCUAAAAUUUGGAUUUAAGGGUUUUUUCUGACCCCGAUUCACGUCACGUGUAAGUGUAAUUAUAAGUUCACCAAAUUGUUUUCACUCUUCAGUGUCUAUUGACUAUUAUGACAUUAUGUAUUUAAUUAGAAAUGGAUUUUCUACCCAGAUUUGUAUUAUAUAUUUAAUUAGCAAGUACAGUGGUUCACUGGUUCGGAUUAGUUUUGGUCUAACACUUCCUCUUCUGACUUGUUCUGCCAAGAUUUGUUCACUGUAAUGAAUGAGAAAAGAGGUAUGUACCUACAUACGAGAGUGACGAGACACUUCUUCCUUCGUCUGUUCGCCGGUUCGCGGCCUAUGUGUAUAAUUGUAUGUGCUAAGUGCUAACUGGUAAAUUGGCAAAUUUAAUUUUAUUGUGUUGUAAUUUGUAUGUGCUAACUGCUCAACACCAUUUUUAAAAUUAAAGGUAUCAAUUAGGCGUGAAAUUGGCAUCCCCCAUAGACAUUGAUAGAGUGUCCAAAUUUUAAGCAAAAUCGCAAAAUUCUUUGUCCACUUGGCGAGCAAGUUCUCUGGUUGGAGCCAAUAUUAAUGCUAAAUGAUUCCUUCCUCAGGUCAGUGACUUAAGUUAAUGUUAAAUAUGUUAUGAUUUAUUCAUUUGGGAAUUAAAAAAUUGCGAAUUGUGAUUUAUGAAUUAUGAUAAGUAAUUUAUGUUUUAUGAGUUAUGAUUAUUGAUUCGGGAAUUUAAGUUUACGAAAUUAUAUUUGCGAAUUGUGAUUUAUGAUUAGUAAUUUAUGUUUCGAUGAGGAAUUAUUAAUGAUUUGGGAAUUUAUGUUUAUGAAAUUAUGUUUGCGAAUUGUGAUUUCUGAAAAGUAAUUAAUGUUUUGUAAUUGAAAAAUAAUUUGGGGACAUUUUUCGGAUUAUGGAACAAUUUUUUUCAACUAAAACGAAAGUCCAGACCCAAUUCUUCUAUUUCUAGUUGUGCAUUUAGUCCCGCCACUUAUUCUAGUCGAGCACAAGAGUUAUUAAAUAACAUAAAAGAAGUCUCGGACUCAAUUCAAAGUAGAUGGUCUUGUAUCUGAUCUAGGGAUACACCCUCUAUCGAGUCAUAUGAUCCUAAUAUUAGAGAUGAUUUUAGGAUGACAUACUUGGAGAAGGUCAUUGUUAACCAUAUGGACAUGAUUUUCCAAGAAGACCAAUAGGGAAUGAUAAUAGAUGUUUUCGGAAAGAAUAAUUUUCCAAAUUUUAUUGGUUGGAAUACAGUAUAGAAAAGGAUGCCGACGUAUUGUUUGCAUUACUAUUUGUGCAAACCCGAUAGAGGGGGUGGACAUAUGUAUACUAAGACCGGCUUUAAGGAUUGGAAUCACAAAAAGACAUUGAAAGAUCAUGUCGGUCUCUUUGAUAGUGCUCAUAAUCAAGUUUUUGCAAAGUGUAUCAAUUUGAUGAAUCAAAAGAAAAGUAUCUCCUACAUUAUUUCUAGCCAAAGUUGUAGUCAACAACAAAUUUAUAGGACCAGGUUGACUGCGGUGCUAGAUUGCACUAGACUUCCCUUGAUGCCAUGAUUGUCAUUUCGUGGUCAUGAUGAAUCGAAAGAGUCUCUUAAUAAAGGAAAUCUAAUUGAGUUACUAGACUGGUAUGCAGCUCGUUGUAAGGAAAUUAAAGAAGUAUUAUUUAGUAAUACUCCUAAAAAUGACCAAAUGAUUUCACCAAUCAUCCAAAAUGAUUUGGUUAAUUGUUGUACCGUGGAGACGACAAGGGCUAUUAUCAAUGAGAUAGGUGAUUAUUUGUUUUUAAUUUUGGUUGAUGAGACUCGUGAUAAUUCUAUGAAAGAACAAAUGAUAGUUGUUUUGAGAUUUGUUGACAAGAGUGGGCAAGUGAAGGAGCGUUUUUUGGGUAUGUCCCAUGUCACUAAUACUUGUGCCUAAUCACUGAAGGAUGCCAUUGAUGCAAUGUUUUCUACAUAUGGGCUGAGCAUAUAUAGCCUGAGAGGUUAAGGCUAUGAUGGAGAAAGUAAUAUGUCAGGCGAUUUCAAUGGGUUGAAAGUUUUAAUUUUAAGAGAGAACUCACCUACUAUGUAUGUUCAUUGCUUUGCUCACCAACUUCGGUUGACAAUUGUAUCUGUGGCACAUAGGAAUUGUAUGCUUGGUGAUUUUUUCGACAUACUUGCUAUUAUUGUGAAUUUGGUUGGUGUAUCAUGUAAGCGUGUAGAUACUCUUUGAACAAGUUAUCAAGCUAAUAUUCUGGGGAAGCUUAAUAUUGGGGAACUUACUAGUGGAAGUAGUCAAUUUCAAGAAAUGAGUUUGGCAUGCCCAGGUGAUACUUGGUGGGGCUCACAUCUACUGACAAUUAUUCGUUUCAUUAAUAUGUUUAAUGCUAUCAUAGAUGUUCUUGAAAAUAUAUCUGAAGAUGGCAUACAUUCAAAUAAAAAAUCUUCGGCUGUAAAACAGAUAAAUGCCAUGCAAGAUUUUAAAUUUGUGUUCAGUCUCCAUUUUAUGUUUGAAAUUCUGGAAAUUACAGACGACUUUUCACAAGCCUUACGGAAAAAUGACCAGGAUAUUCAGAAUGCUAUAAGGUUAUUGAAUUUGUGUAAAUGUGCAUUGCAGAACCUGGAAGAGAAUGGUUGGGAUACUUUGUUGAGUAGAGUGAUUAAGUUUUGUGUUGAUAGACAUAUUUUAGUGCCCUAUAUGGAAGAUAUUGUAGUAGUGAAAGGUCAACCUAGGCGUGUAGCUCAGCAGGUGGCUUAUUUUCAUAACUUUUAUGUUGAUUUGUAUUGUCAUGGGAUUGACUCAAUCUUGCAAGAUUGAAUGAUUGUUUUCCAUAAACAAUUACUGAGCUCUUAACUUGCAUUUCAUGUUUAAGUCCAAGAGAUUCAUUUGCAACCUUCGAUAAGGAUAAAUUGCUACAUCUUGCUCAGUUCUAUACGUUGGACUUCACUAGUGAAGAGUUUUUAUUACUUAGACCUCAGCUUGAUAAGUUUCUUUUGCUUGUGAGAAUGGACGAAACUUUCUUUAAUCUCAAUAGCAUAUCUUGUAUAGCUCAGAAGUUGGUUGCAACUAGAAGUUCUUGUUAUUUUUCAUUGGUUUAUAGGCUUCUCACAUUGGCUUUGAUAUUACCUGUGGCAACUGCAAGUGUUGAAAGGGUAUUUUCUGUUAUGAAUCUAAUCAAGAGCGAUUUAUUCAACAAAAUGGGAUAGACUGGUUGAAUGACAAUUUGGUGAUUUAUGUGGAGAAAGCUAUUUUUAAAAAACUUGAGAAUGAGACAAUAUUGCAAUGUUUUCAAGUCAUGAGAUCUCGCAGAAUGCAGUUUCUAAGUUUACAGUUACAGAGUAACUGAGUAAUGUUGUAUUGUAUAUAUAUAUAUUUUUUUACCAUUUUGGGUUGUAUUGAAAUAUAAUUUCAUAUGUAUACGAUUUUGACGUUUUAGUUCAUUUACAUAUAUAUUGAAUAACUUUUAAUAUUAU